rnacentral:rRNA from 1 species
AUGUUUCUAGAAGACUCUGAAAUAUAUAGGGAUGAGUUGGUAAGGCUAUGGGUCUCUGAAGGUUUUGUUAGUAAAGCACGUGGACAAAGCCCAGAACAAACUGCGAUAAGUUAUUUCAAUGAGCUUGUCAACAGGAGCCUUAUUCAACCUGUACAAAUUGACACGGAUGGGUCGGUGAGAACUUGCAAAGUACAUGAUAUGUUGUUGCAUCUUAUAUUGUACAAGUCCGCAGAAGAGAAUUUUAUCACUGUAGUAGACAGCCCGGAUGCCAUUACAGGACAGCUUCAAAAGCCCCGCCGGGUGCUCUUCAAUUUGGAUGGUGCAACAUUGCCAUGGGAUGGUAGUAUGUCACAAGUGCGAUCAUUUGCAAUGUGGAGAAGCUGCAAGAGUAUACCUUCUUUGGUAGAGUUCAAGUAUCUUCGAGUUUUUAUUGCUGACUUUAGUUCUAUUUCUACUGAUGACAACCAGAAAAUCAACCUGACAGGAUUGUGUAAAUUAUAUCAGCUGCGACAUAUACAGAUUCGUGGCUGUGAUACAUGCCAGCUACCAACGAAGAUUAGAGGGCUACAAAACUUGGAAACAUUUGAUAUAGAUGGGUCAUGUCUCCCAAUGGAUAUUUUUCACCUGCCACGCUUGUUGGAUCUCCAUGUUCCCGUUGAAAGGCUACCUAUGGGCGUUGGUAAAAUGACAUCUCUACAACAUCUGUGGCAUUUUGACAUGCUGUACAACUCGCUCGACAAUAUCAAGGGCCUAGGAGAGCUUACCAAUCUGAGUACUCUAUCUCUCAGGACCGGUUUUGUGGAAGAUGCGCACAUGGAUGUUCUAAACACUUCUUUGGAAAAACUUUGUAGCCUUGAGUGGCUGCACAUAAUUUCACCUGAUUAUUGGAUACCUGAGGCACUAACCUUGUCACCUCCUCCCCCCAACCUUAUGACACUCCACAUGAUACGAAGGUUCCGGGUCCCUAAUUGGAUUGGGGAACUCCAUAACCUCCAGAUGUUGUGUCUCACUGUUGACAAGCUGGACAAGGAUGAUGUUGUUAUUCUUGCGGAGUUACCUGCCCUCAUUGACCUACGUUUAAUGCUUGAUAGAGCACUGGAAGAAAAUAUUGCCAUAUAUGGGACAGCAUUCGCAAUUCUAAAGCGGUUUGAAGUCACCUGGAAUAUCAUGCCACACCUGACCUUCCAAGCCGGGGCAAUGCCUAAGCUCCAAAGCCUCUCCCUACAGUUCAAUGCCAGGGGGUGGAAGCAGGACGACAACGCUGCACCCACAGGUAUCGAGCACUUGUUAGCACUCGAAAAAAUCUAUGUGGGAAUCGGCUGCCGGAGUGCUACUAAAUGGGAAAAGAGCAGCGCAGAGUCUGACAUUAGGAGAGCUAUCAACAUGCAUCCUGGCCAUGCUCACGUUACAGUAGAAUGUCAUGAAGAUGGAGUGUUUCAGAUUUUUUGA